UGUAGAUACAGACUAACACGACUACCCCCCAAUAUAAGAUACAGGUAGUUCAUCUCUGUACUCUCUGCAGGAGGACACGGCAUGAUGUCAGGACUGGCUGGAGCCUACCACCAGACAAAGGAGGGAUCAAAGGGACAGGCAUAGAAGAAGGGAAAGUCAGGGGGGCCCUUCUGUAGUGAGAAGAAAAGGAUUGCAUUUCUCACCCCUCAGCCAUAGAGCUUUCACAGAAAAGAGACAAAGAGAGGGGAUAAAGCAGGAUGGUUCAUUCCAUCCUUGUCCUGUCUGCUGGGAUGGCCAUUGUACCGACCCUCACCUUGUGUCACUGAACUCUAGAUCUCCAUGAUAGGUCUCUACCACCAUGUGACACCAUCAGGGGUGCAGAUUGCGUUAUGGAUACCUGCCAAUUGAGAAAUGAUUCAAGAACUCUCAACCUACUAUGAACAGGCGAUGAAACAGUAAUAACCCUUGGUCCCUACUAUCGUAGGUGGGAUUGGAAAGGGCAGUCUACAGGCGAAAGGCUCUGUAGCCUAGCACGAAGCCUUCCAGCCAUCUACGAACAUGAUGAUACUUAAUUCAACUACAUUUACAGACAAUGCGGUAAAGUGGCUGUAGGAUGUGAGCAAAGACCUGAGAAAUGCUGGAUGGAUUAAAGAUUGCACCAACGAUAAGCCUCAUUUGUCCUCCUAAGCCUGGCCAAUGUAGAAUGUACUCCGUUAACAGAGUUACAGCUUGUAAAAAUGAAGCUUUAACACUGCACUACCUUUUAUGAGCUGGAUCUUCAAUUAAACCCCGUUUUCAAUGAUUAGAAUUGUGAUUUUAAAACAAUUAAAUGGAAAGUGAGUCAGAUUUCUCCAGGAUAAACGUAUCACCAAAAGAGCAGAGGGAUGUUUUCAGACCAGUACAUAGUUGUUAAAUUCUGAUGGAACUUGAUCAGAUUAAGCACUGCAAAAAACAACAACAACAACAAAAGGAGAAGCUUCAGCAUCAGAUCUUCAGGGGGUCAACCAGAUUUCAUCGCUCUCACAUAACCUUCAACCCUGCACUUUACUCCAGUUUGUAGAAACACUUCCAUCCCCAGGAAUUUUCACUGGAAUCGUUAGAUUUCUGCUGCAGCCAAAAGGGUAGUAUUUAUUAUUUAUUGUUUAUUAUAUUUAUUUGUUAUUCUUUGUAAAGCCACAGACCCACAAGCAAGAUUUGGACCCCUUUGUGUUAGGUGACAUAUGUUAAGAGACAAUGACAAUCACUACCUCCCAAAGAGCUUACUAUCUAAAUAGACAAGACAGUCAAAGAAUUGGGGAUAAGGGAUAUAACAUAGAAACAGAAUGAACAAUAUGAUGGUUUGCAAAUGUCAUGUUAGUUCCAUGAUUAUUGUUCUGUUCUUUUCUUUUUUAAUAUUUUGAAGUGGGUGCCAUUGAAAUUCCUCCCGGAUCACUCUAAAUGCGAGCAAGGCCUGCAAAGGCCAAGAUGGUUAUGUUAGGAAGAUAGAGACUGAUAUAAGCGAUAAACAGAGGGCUUUAAAAAACUGAAAACAAAUGAUCGGGGGUCUGACUUGCAUGGGAGUUUUGGGUACACAAGGAAUGCUUCAGCAAGCCCUGGUGAAGAGGAAGAAGUGUUGUCUCUGGCUGAUCUAUUAAAAAUAAGCAGAAGCAAGUUAUAAAACAAUGCAGUGGAGCGGAAAAGAAACGCUGACUUUCUUUUCAAGGCAAAAUUUUGGGGUAAUCAGAAUUUUGUUAUGCAUUUCUUAAGAUAGUCAAUUUAAUCUCUC
rnacentral:lncRNA from 1 species